rnacentral:rRNA from 1 species
UUGGUGGGGUGAUGGCCUACCAAGGCGACGACGGGUAGCCGGCCUGAGAGGGUGUCCGGCCACACUGGGACUGAGAUACGGCCCAGACUCCUACGGGAGGCAGCAGUGGGGAAUAUUGCACAAUGGGCGCAAGCCUGAUGCAGCGACGCCGCGUGAGGGAUGACGGCCUUCGGGUUGUAAACCUCUUUCAGUAUCGACGAAGCGCAAGUGACGGUAGGUACAGAAGAAGGACCGGCCAACUACGUGCCAGCAGCCGCGGUAAUACGUAGGGUCCGAGCGUUGUCCGGAAUUACUGGGCGUAAAGAGCUCGUAGGUGGUUUGUCGCGUUGUUCGUGAAAACUCACAGCUCAACUGUGGGCGUGCGGGCGAUACGGGCAGACUGGAGUACUGCAGGGGAGACUGGAAUUCCUGGUGUAGCGGUGGAAUGCGCAGAUAUCAGGAGGAACACCGGUGGCGAAGGCGGGUCUCUGGGCAGUAACUGACGCUGAGGAGCGAAAGCGUGGGGAGCGAACAGGAUUAGAUACCCUGGUAGUCCACGCCGUAAACGGUGGGUACUAGGUGUGGGUUUCCUUCCUUGGGAUCCGUGCCGUAGCUAACGCAUUAAGUACCCCGCCUGGGGAGUACGG